CAUGAUUCAACUACAGACCUACUGUAGAGGACACCUGGCAAGGAAGAGGUUUGCUCUGAAGAGGAAGUACCUCAUCAAGUUCCGUUCCAUCGUGUUGCUCUACAUCAACCGUCGAAGCUAUGUGAAGGCGGAGAUCGAGCCAAUCAGGAGAGCCGAGGAGGAGUUCAGGA